GGGGAAUAUUGGACAAUGGGCGCAAGCCUGAUCCAGCCAUGCCGCGUGAGUGAUGAAGGCCCUAGGGUUGUAAAGCUCUUUCAGUGGGGACGAUAAUGACGGUACCCACAGAAGAAGCCCCGGCUAACUUCGUGCCAGCAGCCGCGGUAAUACGAAGGGGGCUAGCGUUGUUCGGAAUUACUGGGCGUAAAGCGCACGUAGGCGGACAUUUAAGUCAGGGGUGAAAUCCCGGGGCUCAACCCCGGAACUGCCUUUGAUACUGGGUGUCUUGAGUUCGGAAGAGGUGAGUGGAAUUGCGAGUGUAGAGGUGAAAUUCGUAGAUAUUCGCAGGAACACCAGUGGCGAAGGCGGCUCACUGGUCCGAUACUGACGCUGAGGUGCGAAAGCGUGGGGAGCAAAC
rnacentral:rRNA from 1 species